rnacentral:rRNA from 1 species
GAUGAACGCUGGCGGCGUGCCUAAUACAUGCAAGUCGAGCGAACAGACGAGGAGCUUGCUCCUCUGACGUUAGCGGCGGACGGGUGAGUAACACGUGGAUAACCUACCUAUAAGACUGGGAUAACUUCGGGAAACCGGAGCUAAUACCGGAUAAUAUAUUGAACCGCAUGGUUCAAUAGUGAAAGACGGUUUUGCUGUCACCUAUAGAUGGAUCCGCGCCGCAUUAGCUAGUUGGUAAGGUAACGGCUUACCAAGGCAACGAUGCGUAGCCGACCUGAGAGGGGGAUCGGCCACACUGGAACUGAGACACGGUCCAGACUCCUACGGGAGGCAGCAGUAGGGAAUCUUCCGCAAUGGGCGAAAGCCUGACGGAGCAACGCCGCGUGAGUGAUGAAGGUCUUCGGAUCGUAAAACUCUGUUAUUAGGGAAGAACAAAUGUGUAAGUAACUAUGCACGUCUUGACGGUACCUAAUCAGAAAGCCACGGCUAACUACGUG